rnacentral:rRNA from 1 species
AUACGGAGGGGGCUAGCGUUGUUCGGAAUCACUGGGCGUAAAGCGCACGUAGGCGGCGUGUUUAGUCAGAGGUGAAAGGCCCGGGCUCAACCCGGGAACUGCCUUUGAUACUGGCACGCUCGAGUCCGAGAGGGGGUGGUGGAACUCCCAGUGUAGAGGUGAAAUUCGUAGAUAUUGGGAAGAACACCGGUGGCGAAGGCGACCACCUGGCUCGGGACUGACGCUGAGGUGCGAAAGCGUGGGGAGC